AGCAGCCGCGGUAAUUCCAGCUCCAAUAGCGUAUAUUAAAGUUGUUGCAGUUAAAAAGCUCGUAGUUGAAUUUCGGGAUCAGUACGCUGGUCGUGCCUUCGGUAUGUACUGGUGUUACUGGUUCCUACCUUCUGACGAACCGUCAUGUAAUUAAUUUGGUGUGGCGGGGAAUCAGGACUGUUACUUUGAAAAAAUUAGAGUGUUUAAAGCAGGCUCGCGCUUGAAUACAUUAGCAUGGAAUAAUGAAAUAGGACGUUCGAUCCUAUUUUGUUGGUUUCUAGGAUUGACGUAAUGAUUAAUAGGGAUAGUUGGGGGCACUAGUAUUCAAUUGUCAGAGGUGAAAUUCUUGGAUUUAUUGAAGACUAACUACUGCGAAAGCAUUUGCCAAGGAUGUUUUCAUUAAUCAAGAACGAAAGUUAGGGGAUCGAAGACGAUCAGAUACCGUCGUAGUCUUAACCAUAAACUAUGCCGACUAGGGAUCGGAUGAUGUUAAUUUUUUAAUGACUCAUUCGGCGCCUUA
rnacentral:rRNA from 1 species